CCCGGGGAUGCGGCGGGGCCGGGCCGACCGCACCCUCCUGGCCCCGAGGGCCGGGGACCCGGAGCUUGUCUGCGCCCCGAGAGUCUCCUCUGCUUCCCCGGGGCCGCUGGCGUGUCGGGUCUCGGGGUGCUGGGGGGUGUGGGAGGGGGCGGCGCCCCGGGGUGCUUCGGUCAUAAUGGGGAUCGCCCUGGGAGCCGACUGUGACGCGGCGCGGGGAGGGGCGCUCGGCGCGGGGUUCCCUCGGCCGCGGCCUGGCUGUCGGGCGCGCGCUCCCGGCGCGGAGUGGGUGACCUGGACCGAGGCCGCCCCGGCGCGGGAUGGGUGGUAGCUGGGCUAUCCCGAGCGGCCGCUCGCUUCCUGCCGCGCGCUUUCCGGGAAUUGGCUCUCGGGCCGGGCCCGCCGCGGGGAAACGACUGCCGGGGCGGGGAGAGAAUCCCCCGCGAGGGCAACUAGGCCGGGCAGGCGGCGUCUCCCUUCCUCACCCACAAAAGUCACCGGGACAAUUGGGAACCGCGGGAGGGCAGAAUUGCAUAAGCUGGGGGCGGGGGGCGUUGUGUAACGGGUGACGUCCGGUGGGCGUGGCGGGAGCUCCGCGCGGGCGCCCGGCCCCGGGAGGCCCUGCAGGCCGCCGGGCUUGGGGCUUGGGGCGCAGCUGCCCCGGGUGGUCCCUUGCUACCUGGAAAUGCCUGAACUGGUUCCUCUUGAAAGUUUCAGCUGGCCUGUUUCAGAUCAUGCUUAUUUCCUAUGUACUUUGCAGUGCACCUAGCUUAUGGUAAAGAUGAGAGGGGCUCCCUGAUCCAUAGUUCUCUGCCACGCUUCUCCUGACCUUUCCACUUAGGAUCAGGCUGUGGGGAAAGGCCUUGUAGGUCUUGAGUGCAUUUUUUAGUCUCCAAGAAGCAGCCUCGGCCUCCUAACCUAGGUUAGCACUUUCUUCUUAAGGUGGUUUUAGGCGCUGAAAGGGGGCAGUUUCAAGCUUCUCUUAUGUAAAAGGAAGAGUUGUUCUAUAUAAAUCAGUAGUUCUCUACCAGGGGGAUUUUAUCUCUCCUCUCUCGGGGCAUUAUUUAGAACAAUAUCUGGAGAGAUUUUUGGUUGCCACCUCUUGUGGGGGUGGUGCUGGUACCGACAUCUAGUGGGAGAGGCUGGGGUGCUGCUCAGACAUCCUGCUAGGCACAGCAGGAUUCCCACAACAAAGAAUUAUCAGGCCCCAAGUGCCACUGUUGAUAAACCUUGUGUUACGCGUAUUUGAAGAUCUUAGUGUCUAUCCAUUGGCAUGAAAUGAUAGGGGAAUAAUCCCCCAGAAAACAGACAUCUAGAAUAGCAACUGACUUUAGGUAUUACAGGUAAAUUUAUAGACUGUGUAACUGAAAGGAUCAUCUUUCGGGUCAUGUUUUGUCCCAAGUGCUUAGUCAUAUUGAACUAAUGUCAAGAUCUGGCGUUGUUUAGUAUCUUUAGAGUUCGAAGCACAAACCCCGGAGAUUUUUGUAUUCUUUCAGUGCCUUAGUGAGGAGUAGGCAGGUAUAAAAUAGAAAGAUAGGCUCAGAACAAAAGAAAAGUAUUUGGAAUACGGAAUUCUGAUACACAUGACUCUGCCUCUCUGGGUGAAUAAAGAGAAGAGAAACUGGACUCAGUUGUACAGACCACCUAGUAACUGACCAUGGUGUGAUUUUUAAAGCGAGGAAGCAGAUGCCAGGCAGUGAAGACAUGCACACCGUCACACUGUUAACUGGUAGAGAGGCAGUGCUGUAUCUUCCGCUUCUCCUAAACGUUGGUCUAGGGUUCAUCCUGCCUUAUAGCACAUGUUUAGUAUACAUAUCCAAGGAAGUUUUUUUGGUCACUGAGGCUGAACCUUAUGGACAGUACUACUGAUUUACUGAUCUGACUUUGAAUUAGGGGUUUCACAAGAAUCCAGGUCCUGGUCCAUGGAAGAACAGUGAGCACUUUUGCUAAUUGAGGUCUAGCUUAACAUUCUGUGACCAAUAAUAUUUUAGUUAACAGAGAUUCUGGUUCUUGGAUCGAGGAUAUUAUGUUUAACAGGAAAAGGCUCUGAAAGAUGUAAUCUCUCCUUUUUUCAAGUUGCAUAGAUUGCACAUGAGGAUUUUGCCCACUUAGCAACUUCAUUCUACUUUUGCAGGAAUAGAACCCAAGUCUUCUGACUUUCACUGCAUUAGCUUAUUUUUUCCUCAUUUUUAGUUCUUUCAAGAAUCAUUAAUUCCAUGCUUGAAAAUGUCUGAAUGGCACUAAUGAGGAUAAGUUUUUUAAUCUUUUGAAUUCUUAAUGUGAAGUAACAGGAAAAAAAUCUCAGAGCUAACAAAUUAGAGUUGGUAAAGGGCCGAUUUAUAAGUGUCUCACAAUUUAUGGGUGUAAAUCAAAAUGUUAACUAGUACAGUCAUAAGCUGUUUGUACAAUCCUUAGGCUUUAACUUCUUUGGAAUUGGCAAGCUAGGCAUUUGACAUGUAUUUAUAUAACUGUACGGUUGUAGUUAUUAAUGAUCUUGUCAUUAUUGUUGAUAAUGAAAAAAGAUCUUCACUAUAAUUUCUUCGUAUAAUUCUUAUAAUGAAACAAGUAAAUACUAUUAACUAGAAAAAAUCUAGUCUGCAGUUAGCCCACACACAUCCAAACUUAUCUCUGCCAGCAGCAAAAGAAAGCUUGAAAACCUUUGCCAAAAUCAGAAGUUUCCCAUUUAGAUUACAUAAGUUUCUGUUGAAUUGAAAUAUAUUUAGAUAACAUUUAAACCAUUGAUCUUUUGGUAUUAACUCUCAGAUGUUUCAUAACUUUCUGUCUUUUUAGUAUUCAAGGAUAUUAUGUAAAGUUUUUCCUGCACUGAAUCUCUGUGCUUGAGCCUAUUGAAAUGAUCCCACUAAGCCAUCCUGCCUGCCUUUUGUGUUUAAUGUUUUUUUACACUGACUUAUCUCCUUCAUGUGUUCACCUCUCCCCCAGAGGAAGACAACAGAACAGUAUAAUUUACAGUUUGUACAGGCAUGGUGGCUCAAACCUGUAAUCCCAGGACUUUGGGAGACCGAGGCGGGCGGAUCACGUGAGGCCAGGAGUUCGAGACCAGCCUGGCCAACAUGGUGGAACCCCGUAUCUACUAGAAAUACAAAAAAUUACCCAGGCGUGGUGGUGCUUGCCUGUAGUUCCCGCUACUCCAGAGGCUGAGGCAGAAUUGCUUGAACCCGGAAAGUGGAGGUUGCAGUGAGCUGAGACCACACCACUGCACUCCAGCCUGGGCAACAGAGCAAGACUCAGUCUCAAAAAAAAAAAAAAAAAAAAAACAUAAAAAUAAAAAUAUGAUCCUUGACUGUUA